UAGGGAAUCUUCCGCAAUGGACGAAAGUCUGACGGAGCAACGCCGCGUGAGUGAAGAAGGAUUUCGGUUCGUAAAACUCUGUUGUUAGGGAAGAAAAAAUGUAUAGUAACUAUAUACAAAAGAGACGGUACCUAACCAGAAAGCCACGGCUAACUACGUGCCAGCAGCCGCGGUAAUACGUAGGUGGCAAGCGUUGUCCGGAAUUAUUGGGCGUAAAGCGCGCGCAGGUGGUUUAGAAAGUCUGAUGUGAAAGCCCACGGCUCAACCGUGGAGGGUCAUUGGAAACUAAUAAACUUGAGUGCAGGAGAGAAAAGUGGAAUUCCUAGUGUAGCGAUGAAAUGCGUAGAUAUUAAAAAGAAUACCGGUGGCGAAGGCGACUUACUGGGCUCAUUCUGACGCUGAGGAACGAAAGCGUGGGUAGCAAACAGG
rnacentral:rRNA from 1 species